CCUACGGGUGGCAGCAGUGGGGGAUAUUGCACAAUGGGGGAAACCCGGAUGCAGCGACGCCGCGUGAGUGAAGAAGUAUGUCGGUAUGUAAAGCUCUAUCAGCAGGGAAGAAAAUGACAGUACCUGAGCAAGAAGCACCGGCUAACUACGUUCCAGCAGAAGCGGUAAUACGUAGGGGGCAAGCGUUAUCCGGAUUUACGGGGUGUAAAGGGAGCGUAGACGGUUAUGUAAGUCUGGAGUGAAAGCAGGAGGCCCACCCCCGGGACUGCUUUGGAAACUGUGUAACUGGAGUACAGGAGGGGCAGGCGGAAUUCCUGGUGUAGCGGUGAAAUGCUUAGAUAUCAGGAGGAACACCGGCGGCGAAGGCGGCCUGCUGGACUGAAACUGACGUUGAGGCUCGAAAGCGUGGGGAGCAAACAGGAUUAGAUACCCCAGUAGUC
rnacentral:rRNA from 1 species